rnacentral:rRNA from 1 species
GACGAACGCUGGCGGCGUGCUUAACACAUGCAAGUCGAACGGAAAGGCCCUGCUUUUGUGGGGUGCUCGAGUGGCGAACGGGUGAGUAACACGUGAGUAACCUGCCCUUGACUUUGGGAUAACUUCAGGAAACUGGGGCUAAUACCGGAUAGGAGCUCCUGCUGCAUGGUGGGGGUUGGAAAGUUUCGGCGGUUGGGGAUGGACUCGCGGCUUAUCAGCUUGUUGGUGGGGUAGUGGCUUACCAAGGCUUUGACGGGUAGCCGGCCUGAGAGGGUGACCGGCCACAUUGGGACUGAGAUACGGCCCAGACUCCUACGGGAGGCAGCAGUGGGGAAUAUUGCACAAUGGGCGGAAGCCGGAUGCAGCAACGCCGCGUGCGGGAUGACGGCCUUCGGGUUGUAAACCGCUUUCGCCUGUGACGAAGCGUGAGUGACGGUAAUGGGGAAAGAAGCACCGGCUAACUACGG